AGAGUUCUGGGCCGCACGCGCGCUACACUGACAGAGCCAACGAGUUCUUCACCUUGGCCGAAAGGUCUGGGUAAUCUUGUUAAACUCUGUCGUGCUGGGGAUAGAGCAUUGCAAUUAUUGCUCUUCAACGAGGAAUGCCUAGUAAGCGCGUGUCAUCAGCAUGCGUUGAUUACGUCCCUGACCUUUGUACACACCGCCCGUCGCUACUACCGAUUGAAUGGCUCAGUGAGGCGUUCGGACUGGCUCGGGGAGGUUGGCAACGACCACCCCAAGCCGGAAAGUUCGUCAAACUCGGUCAUUUAGAGGAAGUAAAAGUCGUAACAAGGUCUCCGUAGGUGAACCUGCGGAGGGAUCAUUACACAAUAAAAUACGAAGGCCGUUCGCGGCUGGACUAUUUAUUACCCUUGUCUUUUGCGCACUUGUUGUUUCCUGGGCGGGUUCGCUCGCCACCAGGACCACAAUAUAAACCUUUUUUAUGCAGUUGCAAUCAGCGUCAGUAUAACAAAUGUAAAUCAUUUACAACUUUCAACAACGGAUCUCUUGGUUCUGGCAUCGAUGAAGAACGCAGCGAAAUGCGAUACGUAGUGUGAAUUGCAGAAUUCAGUGAAUCAUCGAAUCUUUGAACGCACAUUGCGCCCUUUGGUAUUCCAAAGGGCAUGCCUGUUCGAGCGUCAUUUGUACCCUCAAGCUUUGCUUGGUGUUGGGCGUUUUUGUCCCCCUCAAAAGGGACUCGCCUUAAAGUGAUUGGCAGCCGGCCUACUGGUUUCCAGCGCAACACAUUUUUGCGCUUGCAAUCAGCAAAAAAGACGGCAAUCCAUCAGACUCCUUCUCACGUUUGACCUCGGAUCAGGUAGGGGUACCCCUGAACUUAACAUAUCAUAAGCGGAGGAAAAAAACCACAGGGAUGGCCUAUU
rnacentral:rRNA from 1 species